rnacentral:rRNA from 1 species
UGCGUAGGUGGGCAGGUAAGUCAGUGGUGAAAUCCUGUAGCUUAACUACAGAACUGCCAUUGAUACUAUUUGUCUUGAAUACCCUGGAGGUGAGCGGAAUAUGUCAUGUAGCGGUGAAAUGCUUAGAUAUGACAUAGAACACCCAUUGCGAAGGCAGCUCACUACGGGAAUAUUGACGCUGAGGCACGAAAGCGUGGGGAUCAAACAGGAUUAGAUACCCUGGUAGUCCACGCCCUAAACGAUGAUCACUCGACAUCAGCGAUACACUGUUGGUGUCUGAGCAAAAGCAUUAAGUGAUCCACCUGGGAAGUACGAUCGCAAGAUUGAA